GACGAACGCUGGCGGCGUGCUUAACACAUGCAAGUCGAACGGAAAGGCCCUGCUUUUGUGGGGUGCUCGAGUGGCGAACGGGUGAGUAACACGUGAGUAACCUGCCCUUGACUUUGGGAUAACUUCAGGAAACUGGGGCUAAUACCGGAUAGGAGCUCCUGCUGCAUGGUGGGGGUUGGAAAGUUUCGGCGGUUGGGGAUGGACUCGCGGCUUAUCAGCUUGUUGGUGGGGUAGUGGCUUACCAAGGCUUUGACGGGUAGCCGGCCUGAGAGGGUGACCGGCCGCAGUGGGACUGAGAGACGGCCCCGACGCCUACGGGAGGCAGCAGUGGGGAGGCGGGUAGAAGGGACGGAGGCCUGAUGCAGCCACGCCGCGUGCGGGAUGACGGCCUGCGGGUUGGAAACCGCUUUCGCCUGUGACGAAGCGGGAGUGACGGUAAUGGGUAAAGAAGCUCCGGCUAACUACGUG
rnacentral:rRNA from 1 species